CACCGCGGUUAUACGAGAGGCCCAAGCUGACAGACCCUCGGCGUAAAGCGUGGUUAAUAACCAACAAAAUUAAAGCCAAAUUUCUCCUAAGCUGUUAUACGCCCUAGGAAAAUAGAAGCCCCACUACGAAAGUGGCUUUAUUUAAUUGAACCCACGAAAGCUAAGAUA
rnacentral:rRNA from 1 species